rnacentral:rRNA from 1 species
AGAGCGAACGCUGGCGGCAGGCCUAACACAUGCAAGUCGAGCGCCCCGCAAGGGGAGCGGCAGACGGGAGAGUAACACGUGGGAACGUACCCUUCAGUUCGGAACAACCCAGGGAAACUUGGGCUAAUACCGAAUACGUCCGUAAGGAGAAAGAUUUAUCGCUGAAGGAUCGGCCCGCGUCUGAUUAGCUAGUUGGUGAGGUAACGGCUCACCAAGGCUACGAUCAGUAGCUGGUCUGAGAGGAUGAUCAGCCUCACUGGGACUGAGACACGGCCCAGACUCCUACGGGAGGCAGCAGUGGGGAAUAUUGGACAAUGGGCGCAAGCCUGAUCCAGCCAUGCCGCGUGGAUGAUGAAGGCCUUAGGGUUGUAAAGUCCUUUUAACGGGGAAGAUAAUGACGGUACCCGUAGAAUAAGCCCCGGCUAACUUCGUGCCAGCAGCCGC